UGUCACCAAUGUCCCCAAUGUCCCCAAUGCCAGCAGUCCCAUAUGGGGUUGUGGUGUCACCAGUGUCCCCAAUGCCAGCAGUGCCAUAUGUGGGCCCCGGUGUCACCAAUGCCAGGUGUGCCCCAUGGUGUCUCUGGGGUCACCAAAAGGGGGCCCCAAAAGUGGGUGGGGGGUCCUCAAAUGGGGAUGGAGGAGGGGUCCCCACACGUAAUUGGGAGUCUGGGAGUCCCCAAAUGGGGGUGGGGGUCCCCAAGAAGAGUGGAUCUGGGGGUCGCUCAAUGAAUUCAGGGGGCCCAAAUUGGGGCUGGGGGUCCCCAAAUAGGGGUGGGGGUCCCCAAAUGGGGAUGGAGGAGGGGUCCCCAAACGUAAGUGUGGGUCUGGGGGUCCCUCAAUGAAUUCAGGGGGCCCCCAAAUAGGCGUGGGGGUCGCCAAAUGGGGGUGGGGGUCCCCAAGAAGAGUGGUUCUGGGGGUCCCUCAAUGAAUUCAGGGGGCCCAAAUUGGGGCUGGGGGUCCCCAAAUGGGGGUGGGGGUCCCCAAGAAGAGUGGCUCUGGGGGUCCCUCAAUGAAUUCGGGGGGCCCAAAUUGGGGCUGGGGGUCCCCAAAUAGGGGUGGGGGUCCCCAAAUGGGGAUGGAGGAGGGGUCCCCAAACGUAAGUGUGGGUCUGGGGGUCCCUCAAUGAAUUCAGGGGGCCCAAAUUGGGGCUGGGGGUCCCCAAAUGGGGGUGGGGGUCUCCAAAUGGCAUCAGGGAUCCACCAGAAAGUGGGUGGGGGUCCCCCAAAUGGGGGUGGGGGUCUCCAAAUGGCAUCAGGGAUCCCCCCAGAAAGUGGGUGGGGGUCCCCAAAUGGGGGUGGGGGUCCCCAAGAAGAGUGGUUCUGGGGGUCCCUCAAUGAACUCAGGGGGCCCAAAUUGGGGCUGGGGGUCCCCAAAUGGGGGUGGGGGUCUCCAAAUGGCAUCAGGGAUCCCCCCAGAAAGUGGGUGGGGGUCCCCCAGUGGUCUCAGGGACCCCCAAAUGGUGCUGGGGGUCCCCAAAUGGGGCGGGUGUGGGGGCGCCCCAAUGCAUCCCAUGGACCCUCGGAUGGGAACCCUCCCCACCCCCCCAAAUUGCACCCAGG
ensembl:lncRNA